GGUAGCGUGGCCGAGCGGUCUAAGGCGCUGGUUUUAAGCUUCGGAGGCGUGGGUUCGAAUCCCACCGCUGCCA